rnacentral:tRNA from 2 species
GGAGAGGUGGCCGAGCCUGGUUGAAGGCGACGGUCUCGAAAACCGUUAUAGGGGCAACCCUAUCGUGGGUUCGAAUCCCACCCUCUCCGCCA